rnacentral:rRNA from 1 species
AACGCUAGCUACAGGCUUAACACAUGCAAGUCGAGGGGCAGCAUGGUUUUAGCUUGCUAAGGCCGAUGGCGACCGGCGCACGGGUGAGUAACGCGUAUCCAACCUGCCUUACACUCUUGGACAGCCUUCUGAAAGGGAGAUUAAUACAAGAUGUUAUCAUGAGUAAGCAUUUUCGCAUGAUUAAAGGUUUACCGGUGUAAGAUGGGGAUGCGUUCCAUUAGAUAGUAGGCGGGGUAACGGCCCACCUAGUCUUCGAUGGAUAGGGGUUCUGAGAGGAAGGUCCCCCACAUUGGAACUGAGACACGGUCCAAACUCCUACGGGAGGCAGCAGUGAGGAAUAUUGGUCAAUGGGCGAGAGCCUGAACCAGCCAAGUAGCGUGCAGGAUGACGGCCCUAUGGGUUGUAAACUGCUUUUAUACAGGAAUAAAGUUAGCCACGUGUGGUUAUUUGUAGGUACUGUAUGAAUAAGGACCGGCUAAUUCCGUGCCAGCAGCCGCGGUAAUACGGAAGGUCCAGGCGUUAUCCGGAUUUAUUGGGUUUAAAGGGAGCGUAGGCCGCAAGUCAAGCGUGUUGUGAAAUGCAGGGGCUCAACCUCUGGAUUGCAGCGCGAACUGGCAUGCUUGAGUACGCACGAGGUAGGCGGAAUUUGUGGUGUAGCGGUGAAAUGCUUAGAUAUCACGAAGAACUCCGAUUG